UGAGGAAUAUUGGACAAUGGGCGAAAGCCUGAUCCAGCCAUGCCGCGUGAGUGAAGAAGGCCUUCGGGUUGUAAAGCUCUUUUAGUCGGAAAGAAAGAGUUGCAAUGAAUAAUUGUGAUUUAUGACGGUACCGACAGAAAAAGCACCGGCUAACUACGUGCCAGCAGCCGCGGUAAUACGUAGGGUGCGAGCGUUAAUCGGAAUUACUGGGCGUAAAGGGUGCGCAGGCGGUCUUGCAAGUCAGAUGUGAAAGCCCCGGGCUUAACCUGGGAAUUGCGUUUGAAACUACAAGGCUAGAGUGCAGCAGAGGGGAGUGGAAUUCCAUGUGUAGCAGUGAAAUGCGUAGAGAUGUGGAAGAACACCGAUGGCGAAGGCAGCUCCCUGGGUUGACACUGACGCUCAUGCACGAAAGCGUGGGGAGCAAACA
rnacentral:rRNA from 1 species